GUCUUAGUCUCGGAUUGAAGUCUGCAACUCGACUUCAUGAAGUUGGAAUCGCUAGUAAUCGCGAAUCAGCAUGUCGCGGUGAAUACGUUCUCGGGGUUUGUACACACCGCCCGUCAAACCACGAAAGUGGACAAUACCCGAAAGCGAUAGCCUAACUGCGCAAGCAGAGGGAAUCGUCUAAGGUAGGGUCGAUGAUUGGGGUUAAGUCGUAACAAGGUAUCCCUACCGGAAGGUGGGGAUGGAUCACCUCCUUUCU
rnacentral:rRNA from 1 species